rnacentral:rRNA from 1 species
CACGUAGGGCGCAAGCGUUGUCCGGAAUUAUUGGGCGUAAAGGGCGCGUAGGCGGCCAUGCGUGUCUUCCGUGAAAUCCCUCGGCUUAACUGAGGACGUGCGGAAGAAACUGCAAGGCUCGAGUCCGGGAGAGGGGGGUGGAAUUCCCAGUGUAGCGGUGAAAUGCGUAGAUAUUGGGAGGAACACCGGUGGCGAAGGCGGCCCCCUGGACCGGUACUGACGCUGAGGCGCGAAAGCGUGGGUAGCAAACGGGG